UUUUAGUCAGUUCAACACCGACACUGGAACCUUUCGGUACUCAAAUUUCGAAAUAAAUAUUUUUGAAAUUUCGGCCUUUUUUCCUAUUUUCGUGUAACGCGAGCAAUCUCAUACCAAAUCAUCAUGUUUGGAUAUACGUGCUAUCCUGGCGCCUGCAUUGGAAUUUGCGGUGGUAGUGCACCUGGUGGUUAUUAUGAUCCCUGCUUUGGGUCAUUCAACGGACCAUUUAAUAGCUGGUGGGGUCCAAGUGGACCCGGUUUCUGGACUGGACGACUGUGUUGAAAACGCUGGGCGUUUUUUACUUUUUGUCUUGAAUUACACUGAAUUAAACUGGCUUCUAAAUUUGGAUGAGGCGGUGAUGGGAUCUCGGUUGCAGAAGAAAUCUAGGGAGAAAAGCUUACGGCUACUAUCAUAUGUAGCUCUCAAAAUUAUUUAUGUCCAUAGAA
rnacentral:sRNA from 1 species